UACGAAGGGGGCUAGCGUUGCUCGGAAUCACUGGGCGUAAAGCGCACGUAGGCGGGUUGUUAAGUCAGGGGUGAAAUCCUGGAGCUCAACUCCAGAACUGCCUUUGAUACUGGGAAGCUUGAGUCCGGAAGAGGUGAGUGGAACUCCGAGUGUAGAGGUGAAAUUCGUAGAUAUUCGGAAGAACACCAGUGGCGAAGGCGGCUCACUGGUCCGGUACUGACGCUGAGGUGCGAAAGCGUGGGGAGCAAACAGG
rnacentral:rRNA from 1 species